rnacentral:rRNA from 1 species
AUUGAACGCUGGCGGCAUGCCUUACACAUGCAAGUCGAACGGCAGCGGGGACUUCGGUCCGCCGGCGAGUGGCGAACGGGUGAGUAAUGUAUCGGAACGUACCAUUGAGUGGGGGAUAACGUAGCGAAAGUUACGCUAAUACCGCAUAUUCUCUCCGGAGGAAAGCAGGGGACCGCAAGGCCUUGCGCUCUUUGAGCGGCCGAUAUCAGAUUAGCUAGUUGGUGAGGUAAAGGCUCACCAAGGCGACGAUCUGUAGCGGGUCUGAGAGGAUGAUCGGCCACACUGGAACUGAGACACGGUCCAGACUCCUACGGGAGGCAGCAGUGGGGAAUUUUGGACAAUGGGGGCAACCCUGAUUCAGCCAUGCCGCGUGAGUGAAGAAGGCCUUCGGGUUGUAAAGCUCUUUCGGCCGGGAAAAAAUCGCAUGGGCUAAUAUCCUGUGUGGAUGAUGGUACCGGAAUAAGAAGCACCGGCUAACUACGUGCCAGCAGCCGCCGUAA